CUCGUCGCCGUCCUGCUCCUCAGGCCUCGGGAGCACGUGACCAGCCCCAGUCCUUUCCCCGGGCGCGUGCCGGUGCUGGGCGUCGUUACGAGCCGGUUUCCUCCCGUACCUCCGAGCGAAGGUCUCGGGGCUGCGGCCGGAGAUCUGCUUCCGUCGGGAUGGGCGGGAGGAGGCGUUGGCAGUAGAACAGACCCGCCUGACUGCGGCUUAGGAGAGAGAGAGGAGGACGCGAAACACUAUGGAGUCACGAAACACCCCUGCCUCCGGUGCCCCUGCCUCUGCCGGUCGAGGCGUGAAGGCCCCGGCGAUGCCGACGCAGCAGCCCGGGACCUCCGGGUCCCCGGCGAAGAGAGAACGGAGGCCCAGCAUGUUUGAGAAGGAGGCAUAUGCACAAAUCUUACGGGAAAGACUCAGACAAUCUGUACAUGAUGUUCUGUAUGUUGAACCUCCAUUUGAUGAAUCAAUUGCUGAUAUAGGUAAAGAUCAAUGGAAGACCAUGGGAAAAGUAAAAUAUGCUAACACAUAUAGAAUGGAGCCAUACAGGAAAUUCGAAGCUCAGUCAGUACAAAGGAAAGUUCAACAGAUACUAACGGACAAACUUAAGAAUGUCAAGUACAGUGAAGAAACAUUUUCUUUCUUGUCACUUGAACUGGCAGAUCGUGUAUUAGGAGCUGUCAAAGAAUUUACUUUCCCUCGAUAUAAAUACAUUGUAAAAAUCAUACUUAUUCAAAAAACUGGUCAGUCAAUAAAUGGGAAGCCCUAGAUAUGAGCCAGAAGUAAAAUCAUUCUCUGGUUCCUGAGGUGGAAGACGUAAGCCAAUAAGUGAAAACAGAAAGCCCCUUCUCAUUAGAGGCCAGGCUCUUCCCAGGACUAGAUCUGGUACAAACCACAUUCUGGGUUCACAAGAGAAAAGGCCGAAUGCCCCCAGCUUCUGUGAAACCAUCGAAGAAGUUCUUUAUCACUAGACCAGAAGCAGAUUAAAAGAUUUCUAGCAGAUGGAUCUGGGAUGUUGUUUGGGACACCUGGCUAGAAGCUAAACAUGAAACCGAAU